AUACGUAGGGUGCGAGCGUUGUCCGGAAUUACUGGGCGUAAAGAGCUCGUAGGUGGCUUGUCGCGUCGUCUGUGAAAUUCCGGGGCUUAACUCCGGGCGUGCAGGCGAUACGGGCAUAACUUGAGUACUGUAGGGGAGACUGGAAUUCCUGGUGUAGCGGUGAAAUGCGCAGAUAUCAGGAGGAACACCGGUGGCGAAGGCGGGUCUCGGGGCAGUAACUGACGCUGAGGAGCGAAAGCAUGGGUAGCGAACAGGAUUAGAUACCCUGGUAGUCCAUGCCGUAAACGGUGGGCGCUAGGUGUAGGGGCCUUCCACGACUUCUGUGCCGUAGCUAACGCAUUAAGCGCCCCGCCUGGGGGGUACGGCCGCAAGGCUAAAACUCAAAUGAAUUGACGGGG
rnacentral:rRNA from 1 species